GGUCCCCCGAAGCGGCCAGGGGCCCCGGGGCGGGCGUGUCGCUGACCCAGCCGCCCCCCCGUGUGCGCGCCCUGCUCGCACCCGCCUCCUAGGCGCCCGAGGCUACGACGAGCAGCCUGAAACCCGAGCUUCCUGCGAAGGAUUCAAACCAGGGAGAAAAGCGCAGCCAUGAUACAGCCACCGCUUCUAAGCCUCAGCGGUCCCUGUGCUUGGGGCUCCACGUGCGCCUGCGCCCCCAACUCUCCCAGCGCCCGCGCGGCUCCCACUCCACAGCUGAAGAAACUGAAGCCCAGAGUUGCUAGCAAGAUGCCCGAAGGUGCACAGCUGCUAAGGCAGAUCUGGGACUUGUCCCCAGGCGCUUCCGGCGAAUCCCGCCUCUCCGGUCCACAUCAGCUGCGCCCCGCCCGGGGGGGGAGGCGCGGAAGUGGUUCUUGCUUGCUAGGCCUUGACGGGAAGGCUUCCGCUCGUCUACCACAGCCUGGUCCCUCGGGGUCACGAUUCCUGGACCACUGGGAAGGCACCGGGACACACAGGUGCAGAGAUGUGACGCUGGAUGCUGCCUCCUCAUCUGGGAAGCUAGAAACGUGGGCAUCAACGCUCCCGCCACGCCGUCUCUCCUCCCGUGCCUUAGCAAUGGCUCCCUCGCCACCAAGGUGAUUGUCUUCUGGAAGCAGCCGUGCCACGUGAGGUUCCUCGUCACUGCCCCCACCUCCCUGGCGGGGUAACUGCCAAGGCGCAUGUGGUUCCAGGGAAAGAGAAAGUAGCAGCGUCGACGGCUUCUCCAGCACCCAGCCAGCCGGCCCUCUUGGCUGCAGCAGCCCCUCUGCGGGCCCACCCCUCCCUGCGGCGGGCUCAUCAGUUACCCGGAGCCAGCUGUGAGCCUACUCCCCUGGCUCCGAGGUUUUCAGUGGGUUCCAAGUGACUUCACACUUCAAGUCGAUUCUCAUGCACCUGGAGCACAGAGCCUCAUCUGACCCAGCUCAGUUCUCCAGCCUUCUCUCACAUGUCCCAUCCUGCCUCUUCGCCAAAACAAAUGAGCUGUAUUCCCGC